rnacentral:rRNA from 1 species
GACGAACGCUGGCGGCGCGCCUAACACAUGCAAGUCGAACGAGCGAGAGAGAGCUUGCUUUCUCGAGCGAGUGGCGAACGGGUGAGUAACGCGUGAGGAACCUGCCUCAAAGAGGGGGACAACAGUUGGAAACGACUGCUAAUACCGCAUAAGCCCACAGGUCGGCAUCGACCAGAGGGGAAAGGAGCAAUCCGCUUUGAGAUGGCCUCGCGUCCGAUUAGCUAGUUGGCAGGGUAACGGCCUACCAAAGCGACGAUCCAUAGCCGGCCUGAGAGGGUGAACGGCCACAUUGGGACUGAGACACGGCCCAG